CUCCCCAUCAAACAUCUUCUUAAAUUCUUCAUUACAUCACCAAACUUGUUCGCAAGGUUGUAUAUCUACUGCUAUUCCGAGGACUGCCAUAUCUUGAUUCCUUCAAGCCGUACUUUCAAUUGAAAUGGCGGUUGUGUUACCCGGCUAGCUCUCGAAGGAAAGAAGCGGAGCACCUCUAUUAUUAGAUCAAUUUGAGAUUCUCUCUUUUAAAAAGUUACUGAUUUGCCCGCAUAAAGAAGUGCCCCACAGGCUUAUAAGCCUGAUCCUCCUUCCCGUAGUCUAAUCUU
rnacentral:lncRNA from 1 species